UACGUAGGUGGCGAGCGUUGUCCGGAUUUAUUGGCGUAAAGCGCGCGCAGGCGGUGCGGUAAGUCUGUCGUGAAAUCUCCCGGCUCAACUGGGAGGGUGCGGUGGAGACUGCCGGACUGGAGGCACUCAGAGGGACACGGAAUUCCGGGUGGAGUGGUGAAAUGCGUAGAGAUCCGGAGGAACACCAAAGGCGAAGGCAGUGUCCUGGGGAGUACCUGACGCUCAGGUGCGAAAGCCAGGGGAGCGAAACGGG
rnacentral:rRNA from 1 species